UGCGGCGUAGCAGUUCUCUCACCUCGUCUCGCUGGACGCGCAGCUCGUCGAUCUGCCUGUCUCGCUCGGCGAUCAGCUCCUGCUGGUGCUGUAUUAAAUCCG
rnacentral:lncRNA from 1 species